rnacentral:rRNA from 1 species
CAGCCGCCGCGGUAAUACGAAGGGGGCUAGCGUUGCUCGGAAUGACUGGGCGUAAAGGGCGCGUAGGCGGAUUGCGCAGUCAGAUGUGAAAUUCCUGGGCUUAACCUGGGGGCUGCAUUUGAGACGCGUAGUCUAGAGUGUGAAAGAGGGUCGUGGAAUUCCCAGUGUAGAGGUGAAAUUCGUAGAUAUUAGGAAGAACACCGGUGGCGAAGGCGGCGACCUGGUUCAUAACUGACGCUGAGGCGCGAAAGCGUGGGGAGCAAACAGGAUUAGAUACCCGAGUAGUCCCUGUCUCUUAUAC